GCCGGUCGGCCAUUCCUAUUAAACACGUUCUGGCUGUAGCACUUAAAGGGACAAACAACGGCGAGUAUAAAAUAAACAAACAGAAGUAAUUUACUAAAAAUGUACCUAUUAAACCAAAGAAACGAUUAAAUCAGCUGUUAAUGGACAUGAACGUAACAAAAUAUAAUGCUGCCACAAACAAACCGGAAACUGCGAUAAAACAGAUCAAUCUGUGGGUUUGUUCCAACAGACCGACUAUCCUGCUUGUGGUCGGCAGCAUUAAAGCGGACGCUGAGCACAAACAGCCGACUACAGACUCAGUUUAGCAUGAUGUUCCUGAAUCAGACGUCUUAAAGACGGAGCAGCACAUGUGUCUGAAGCAGCAGGAAACGUCCUGACGUCUAAGAGCAGGAGGUUCAGCUGGCUGACGUGUCAAUGAUUGGUGGAGAGAGAAUCUCUCCGGACCAGAGGGGGACAAACUUUUUACCUCGAGGGACAAAACCGUCAAGUUUACAGAUACAUGUCACUUUUUUUCAGUUUUCCACCAGAUUCCAACAUUUUGUAGGAAAAUUACCCAGAACUCCAAUGAUUUCCUGGACGAUCAACAUUCCCGCAGCAUCACGGAUCCUCUGCCGUGCUUAUCAGUGAUGAUGAGGUGCUUUUCUGUUUUACUCCGAACUCACACAGCGUCCAUCAGAGAACGGCUCAGUCUGACCUAAACACAGGUGCUGUAAAUGAGAUGGGAGGACAGAACAUGAUCUUUUAUUUUAUAGAGGCUGUAGUGAUGCAUCCCACAAUGCAUUGCACCACCAGCAGCAGGAGAAGGAGAAGAUGCAGGAAGUUGUUUUUGAAAUUAUUUAAUUUGGGCAAAAUAAUUUAUUUUAGGAUGUUUAGGAUGAGAAAGUAAAUGCUUCGUUGGAUCUUUAAUUAAAUUGGACUUUACAGC